rnacentral:lncRNA from 1 species
AGGAAAACCUGAAGAGAUGAUUUCUCUUUAAUUUGGACUCAGCCAGCCUUCCUAAAUCCACAGCAUGUUACUGGCGUAUGUAAACAUUAUGCUUACUAAUUGUUUACCUAUGUCCUCAUUCUGCUUUCCAGUAAUAAUUUUUGACAGGGUCACAUGGCGAGUGCCAAAGAGCAGAACUCUUAAGAGUGUAGGCUCUGGAACACAUCCUGGCAUUGCAGUUGAUUAGCUGGAUGAAUGUAGGCAAAUUACUUAACCAUUCCUCUGCCUUGUUUAUUAGUAAACAGGAAACAAUGCACCUAUAGGAUUGUUCAGAGGAUUAAAGUGUUAAUUCAUCUAAUGACCUUGGAACAGUGCAGGGCAAUAUAGCAAGUGUGUUAGCUAUAGCUGUUAUUAUCCGCUGUUGAUUAAAUGGUUAGUAUUUGUCCAGAUUUAUGGUGGGCAUGUUGCAUAUGUUACUGUGGUGUAUAAUUUUAAGCUAUUUUCUGCACAGAAUACGUUACACAAAAUAACAGCGUUAAUGGGAAACUAAAUUUUAAAAAACUAGUGUGAACUUUGCUAUCUCAAAUUAAUGAGGUGUUUUCCCUUUCUUCCUUAGUCCCUCUCAGACAUGUUCAUUUUCAUAUUUAAGAUAACUGUCAUUUUCCAUGUUGUAAUAUGGUCAUAAUGAUCAUACAUUUUAAUGUACCAGAAUUUACUUGGUUAUACCUGUAUUGAUGGAUAUUUGACUAUUAUAAUUAAAAAUAGUGCUAUUAUAUAAUACUAGGGAUUAUGCAUAUUUUCCAGCAAGUAAUUCUCCUGUCUUUCACUUUAUUUCACUUAUUUCCUGAGGUUAUAUUCCUAAAAGUAGAAUUACUGGGAAAAGGAAUGUAUGCUUUGGAAACAUUUUGCUAACUUUCUUUCAGAUCUGUGCAAUAAAUCCUCCUACUAAUGAUGAAUAAUCAAUAUUGAUAAUAUUUUUAAUUUUGUUGAUUUAGUGGUUAUUGAUAAAUUGAUACUAAAAUAUUAGAAAUGAUAUUUUUGCUAAUUUGAGGGGACAUUGUGAUAAAGAACAUGGGUGCUGGAGUUAGGCUGUCUGGAUAUAAACCCCAGAAUCACCCCUAACUAGGUGAGUGAUCUUGGGAAGGUUGCUUACCGGUCCUAAGCGCAGGCUUUGCUGGGCUGCAAACUGUGAGUGAUGCCAUAGCCCACCUCAUGUGACAUUUUUAUUAGGUUAUUAUUAUUAUGCUCAAUUUUUUUCUUUGCUUUUGGCUACCAGUAUGAACAUUUAUGUCAAACAGAUUUGAAAUUUGUUUACAUUUUAUUUUUGUGUGUGCGUGGAUGUGUGGAUUAUUAUUUUUUUCUUUUUGGAGAACUUAGCCUAUUUUAUGCUAAACAGUGACACUCUUCAUAGAAUAUAGUAUAUAUGUACAUUUUAUCUGGUAUUUUGGCAUUGUAUAGUUUUUUUGGUCUAUUUAUUUUCUUUCACGUCUGUUUUAUUUUAAAAGUGUGUGUGUCAUUACAACCCCCUUCUCAUAUAUCUGAUAAAUAGUUUCGAUUUAUGCUACUACUUAUAAAAUUUGAACUGUUGGUAUGUAACUCUCCAUUCUGUUUGGAACUUGUAAGAUGUGAAAUAGGAUCUAAAUCAGACUUCCUGAAUUGAUGACCAUUAUUCUUCACCAUUGCUUUUCAAUAGCUCAAGUUAUUUUUCUAUAGAAAUAAAAAAGACAUGAAAUGAUUCUUAAUGAAAAUCUAUCUAUUGCAUUGUUUUCUAGAAUUUAUCUUCUAGAAAGUGAAUUUUACAGAAGUUGGUCAUAUAGAAGGCAUUCUUAUCAAGGAAAAUAAAGGGAUCCCGGCUCAUUCCUUUCUUAAAGUCUUUAAGGUGAAAGAGAAAGGCGCACAGAACUUUGCUUCUCCAUGUGUCUGUCAUAAAGAUAGUAAUUUCACACCUCUAAAGUCCAUUGAGAAUUACUGGUUAGUACAGCAGCUUAAUUCUGAGAAGAACAUACCACAAAAUUCCUAGAAAAUUAGUUUUUAGGCACAGAAAUUUUCAAAUACUGAGUGUCAUUUUCCUUUCAUGGUUUCAGACUUUUCCCCUUUUCAUUCUUUGAGUAGUUGAGAUUCUGGCUCUACAGUUUCUUCAAUUUGUGGCCUUUGGCAUAUAGCCUCAAGGCCUCCGCUUCUCUUCCUGCCUCUGCAGAAUGGAAAUCCUGUCUCCCUUGUAGGCAGGGCUCAUCAGGAGCCAUAUACUAUUGCUGCAUUCAGCUGGUAGCAUUCUGAUUGAUUGGUGCCUGUGUCUGGCUGGUUGCUAAAUACUGCAAAACUUUCUUUUGCUUCUUGGGGAUGAGAGAGAGAGAGAGAGAGUAUCUGCUCUAUGCUCCGAGGUUAUGGGGUGCAGAUGGGAGGUAGAUGCACCGCAAGAGAAGGUGUAGGGGACAUCUGAAAAACCUUUUUGGAUGCCUCCACUCUAUGUGUCUUCCCACCACUUUCCUGGGGAGCUUCUCUUACUUGGAAGGAGUGUGUUGAAAGCCUCAAAUGCUCUGAGGUGGGGAAGACUGGAAAGCCCAGCUGUAGGUAGGUCGUUCCGAACUCGUUUCACAGGAGACUCACCAGGGGAACUUAAAAAAUUGUCAGAAACUCUACAUUGGUGCCAGGCACUACUUUUUAGAUUGCUCUUUUAAAGCUCUUCUCUUAACCUAGAUUUAAGGACAAGUACUCGGGAUUAUUUUUCUGUAAUGAAAACAGUACGGCUCUUUGUCCUCAAUCUUUUAUUACUUUAUUAAAGCCUCCUUGACAGAUGCCCCUGUAGCAGUUCCUUACAGUGACUUUGUCUUGUGCUUUUAUCUAUAGUCUUUCUACUUUAUUUUAUUCGUUAAUUUAUUAUUAUUAUUAUUAUUUUUGCUUUUUAGGGCCGUACCUAUGGCAUAUGGAAUUUCCCAGGCUAGGGAUCAAAUCAGAGCCACAGCUGCCAGCCUGCACCACAGCCACAGCAAUGCCAGUUCUGAGCUGCAUCUGUGACCUACACCACAGCCCAUGGCAGUGCCGGAUCCUUAACCUGCUCAAGGAGGCCAGGGAUCCAACUGCAUCCUCAUGGAUCCUAGUCAGAUUCUUUUCUGCUGUGCCACAACGGGACUCCUAUAGUCUUGCUAUUUUAGUUUAGCCUUCUAGAUCUCCUCAUUGAUUCAGCAAACAAUAAUGCUCCUAGCCAGUAUUUAUAACACUGCUAAUUUUGUGCCUGACACUGCUAUAAGUACUUUAUUUAACCCAUUUAUUUUCCAUAAAAUAGGUGCUAGUAUCACCCCCUUUUUACACAUGAGGAAACUGAGGCACAAAGAGGCUAAAAACCUUGCUCGGGGUUAUACAGCUAAUAAGAGACAGAGCUGGACCUCAUUGGUAGGGUCUAAGCUUUUAGCUUCCAGCCUGCAUUGUCUCUGGUUGAGCACCUGCUAUAUGCCAUGGACUUUCUGGGGUGCUGAGGUUAACACAGUGAACAGAAUAGAAACAAAGUUCUACUCAUGAUGGGACGUACAGUCUAGUGGAAGUUCUACGGGUGCUCCUGAUUUUUAGUCAAGAUGUUGUGUCUCAGAAAAUGCUCUACCACUAAGCUGUUCGCUCACCCUUUGUAAUUAUACUUUUGAAUAAUUGAAAAUAUAUGUUAUCUUGCUUUAAGAAAGGGUUUAUUAGUCUACACUGAUUUGGGGUGGGAAGUGAAUAAGUGAAUAUUUAUAGCAAAACAUCCCACAGUCUCAGGACUGCUACUUUGCUCUUACAGGGUUAGCCUUGGGCCAGAGGGCACAAUUUUAUGGUUAGAAUGUGCUCAGUCCUCUCAGUGUGAAGGGGCCUAACAUAUGCCCCCCCUCUUGUUUUUCCUAACUGGAAAAACCCUAAUACAUAUCCAGACCUUUAUUAAUCCUCACUCACCUUGGCGACUCCUCUUUGUGGCAUCUCGUUCUCUGGGCACUGUUAAAUGAUAAGGGUGGUUAAUGAACUAAACUAAUUUGAGCCAGAAUAAUGGCUGAUAAUAGCUAAAGGAGCUCCAAUGCCAGUUGCAUCUUAGCAGGAGUUUCCACGUGAGCUCCAAAGAAAGAACUGUGUGGGAAUCUGGGGCACUGGGGUGCAGCCAAUGGAGGUAUUUUUAGCCCAGAGGCCCUUUCAUCACCCCCUCCAGUCACACCACUUAAACAGCUGCUUACUCUGUGUGUGUAAACAAGUUCUUCUCCCUCCUCCCCAAGGACCUAGAUUUGAGACUCUUAUUCAGUCGCUCACAAAUAGAGCAUUGCUUGUGACCUUUUUCUCUAAUCUGGAUGCUCUUGAGAUGUUCAAGUACAUGCUGACAGAGAUUCUAUGGGAAUAUGUACGUAUCUGCUUCAUGGGGAGAAACAGAUCUUUUAACAAGGAGCUCAUGCUGUACUGCACAUUUGGACCCCGUUGGUAGCACCUUAAUGGUGGCACAGAAUUCAGCUAAUGACACUUUGGUUUUUGAAAGGCUGGCUUGAAAGCAUUGUAUUCCAUCAUAGUUAAAGGAGUGCUUUCCUGCCACCAGGAUCAGUUCCUGAAAGAUGUAUGUCAUAUGUGAAUUUUUAUUCACUGCUGCCCCUUCAGUUUGCUCAGGAUGAGUGAGUAGCUGAACAAGCUGAAAUUGCCUGGAUUUAUUAUUGAUCUUUGCUGCAAAACUGAGCUCCUUGAAGCCUAGGAAGCCUAUCUUUCUUGUUGAGAGUAUUAUUCCACUUCUUCCUCCAUGAGGCCCAUUGAGAUCCGCAUUAUACAACUGGUGAAAAAAGAAGUAAGGGAAGCAAGAAGCAUUUUAUUAGGGUGCUGGACCUUGACUGUGUGAGGCAGGAUUUUAACUCAGGUGGUCAGAUUCAAAAGUUGAUGCUUUAACUUCACCCAAAACAAAACAAAAAAAAAAACACCCCAAAAUAUUAAGUGAAUUAAAAAUUCAUUGUACUUCAUCCACAAAAAACUCUUGGUUUUCUUGGAGAACUUUACCAAGCUCAUGACUUGUGAACAGUUUACUAUCCAUGUAACCUGAUUGCUGGUCUGCCUUUCCAGUGGGACUGUAACCCCUCCAGGGCAGGGAGAGGGCUUUGUUUAUUGUUUAUUCCCAGGGCUAUGCAGAGUGUUCUAUGAAAAAGUGUUUCGCAUUACUUAAUGCCUUGUUAUGUUUAAAACAUAUUUUUCUCAUAAAGAUACAGUAAUGAGUUGCAUCAACAACAGAAGCCUUUUCUUUGAGUAUUUGAAAGACCUCAGAACUUUUAAGAAGGAUGCUAACUUAUUCUCAAAGGGCAUUUGUACCUAGGAUUCUUAAUUCAGACUCAGAUCCUAAACAAAAUCAGAAAUAAAAAUAUGUUUUCGGUUCUUUUAGAUGUUAAUGUCACAUAGGUACCUAAUCUAGUGUGUCCUCAAACUUCAUGAAUUAAAAGAGGUACAUUUAAACUAUUAGAAAAAAAGAUCCUGAUUCAGUCUACUUUUAGCACCAACUUUAUCCAAAUACCAUAGGUUGCUAAAAUUGGAGAUUUUGGAAAUAUGGUAUUUAUAAUAAUUAGGAAUAAUGAGUUCUAAGAGAGAUCAUUAGAGCUCACAAUAUACUUUAAGUCUUACCAGCUGUGACAGGGCACGCCAUUGCUAUUCCUCAGAUUUUGCCUAGAAGCUUUAAAAGAAUCUGUUUAUAAACUGGAACCAAUACUUAAGUGUCACUGGAUUAACACUUCAGAAUUUCAUGUUUACACGUAUAUUUCACAACUCUCUUUAAUAUGCUUUUAAAGCUGGCUGAGACUUAUUUAUGUGUUACCCAGCUAUGCUGGGUUCCAUAAUCUAUAGCUACUUUCUUUUGAAAUUAAAUUUACUGCCACAGAAAAUUGUGGCGAAAAUAAAGCCAAAAGGUGUUGCAACCUACUAAUUGAAAACAUGUAUUCUGUAACUAGUAAGCAUUAGUAAGCACUUAUGAGGUAAGUUUUAUUUAGCGUUUUUGAAGUUAAACGCUAACAAAAAAUUCAUAAUAAAAAAUACUAGCAAAAUGUUCUCAAAUAAUUUUAGGUAGAAUAUAUACAUUUAUAUAUGACAACAUAAACAUUGUUUUACACUGAAUACAAAUGUAAAUUCAAUUCUCAAACAGAAUUCGUGCAAAAGAGUGGUUUGGUGUAAGAAUGUUGAAAGUGGUUCCUGCCUAGAAAGGUCUUAAAUCAAAAUUAAUAAGAGUUCAGUGAAACAGUUGAACACAUAAACUAUUAAAGUCAAUUCUAUAAAACUUGGAAGUCCCUAAUAUUUGCUAGGCAUUGUGCUAGGCAAUAUAGGUAUGAAUAAGAUGU